rnacentral:lncRNA from 1 species
UGAAAUACAAAUAAUCUAGGUAUCAAAUCUAUUCUGUACCAAUGUUAUUUAUCAGUCAGAUAGUCAAUCGGGAACUGAAUCGGGCGAUAUUGCCCAGUUCAGUUUGGUAUGAGGCUAUGAGCUGUGCCAUCUGGUGCCUAUAAUUUCUUUUAUUUAUAUAUUUGACAACAGUGAGUGGCAGUUGCCAUUUUUUUCUGUUUUUUGUAUUCUUUGGUUCUUGUGUUCUCUUUCUUUCUCAAGCACCUCUAUCACUUUCACAUGAUCUCUCUUUCUCUUUGUUGCCUUUGCUGCCUCCUCUUCCCCGCCAUAUAGCUGCUGCUGCCUCCUCUGUCUUGUGUUUCUGUUGUCUCCUCUUCUCAUCCAGAUUACUGUUUUCUUCUCUUAUUACUAUGUCUCUUCCUCCGCCUCCAUCUCCAUCUCUGCUCUAUUCAUUCUCCUCUGCAAGGCCUCAUCUUGCUCCUCUUCUUCUCCUCCUACCAUCUUCUCUCCCCCUUUCUGUUUGGUUCAUGCAAUACCAACACAUAUCAAGUGUCAACACAUUGGUUCAUACUCAAACCAUAUCAUUUCGGCCGCUCAUCUGUAUCAGCACCAGACUAAGAUUUUAAAUCUUGCAAAUAACUAUACACAUAUAUAAGAUAAGAUUUUACAGAGCAACAUAAAGUUCAUUUGAAAGAGGGAAGUUCAUUUGAGAGAG